CACACAGCUCUUACACACACACAGCUCUUAAGCCCUGUCUACACCAAACCGCAGAGAUGAGACGGUUUUAGUCCAGGUUUAGAAUGUUGGCUCUCGGCAGUUGGCAUUUCGAAAGCUUAGCGUGUCAAGUCUUAAGCCCAGAGUUUUAGAACACAAGGCUACGUCAUGGACAAAAUGGCGGAGUUUUGGACGACUGAGAGAGAGGCAUCUCUGAAGACCGACCAUGUCUGUGCGACAUCGCUGCCCGAAGCUAGUGAAACCGCUACUCAAAGUCUAAUGGGAUUCAGGAGAUUGCGAAUUGCCUUGGGAUAGGCGAGAAAGAAGUGAUAAAAAAGAUUCAGUCCCUCUGCACCCAAUAUUGUCUCUACAAGGAGCUACCGCCAUCUGGAAGUGCAGGGAGUGUAAAAACAGCAAGAUCCUGAGGAGGCUGUGCUUCCUGGAGUCUCACACCAGUGUGCAUGAUGGAACGUACAGCAGAAAAUGAGAGGGAGGAGAGUGAAGAAGUGGAGCUGGAGGAGGAGGAAGACGAGGAGGAAGAAGACCAGGACCGCCGAGAUAGAGAUAGAGAACGAGAUAGAGAACGAGAUAGAGAACGAGAUAGAGAACGAGAUAGAGAACGAGAUAGAGAACGAGAUAGAGAUAGAGAUAGAGAUAGAGAUAGAGAUAGAGCUGUUCCUCAGUUAAAGGCCUCUUCAGCCCCUUCAGCUCGAGGGAAGUGUUAGCUGGCCGAAUCAGAGAGCACGAUUUUUAAUUAAAUGGGGAAUUUAAUUAAAUAUUUUAAAGACUGAAGUAUCUGAUGACAUCA